rnacentral:rRNA from 1 species
UGCGAACUCCUACGGGAGGCAGCAGUGAGGAAUAUUGGUCAAUGGGCGUAAGCCUGAACCAGCCAAGUCGCGUGAGGGAUGAAGGUUCUAUGGAUCGUAAACCUCUUUUAUAAGGGAAUAAAGUGCGGGACGUGUCCCGUUUUGUAUGUACCUUAUGAAUAAGGAUCGGCUAACUCCGUGCCAGCAGCCGCGGUAAUACGGAGGAUCCGAGCGUUAUCCGGAUUUAUUGGGUUUAAAGGGUGCGUAGGCGGCCUUUUAAGUCAGCGGUGAAAGUCUGUGGCUCAACCAUAGAAUUGCCGUUGAAACUGGGGGGCUUGAGUAUGUUUGAGGCAGGCGGAAUGCGUGGUGUAGCGGUGAAAUGCAUAGAUAUCACGCAGAACCCCGAUUGCGAAGGCAGCCUGCCAAGCCAUGACUGACGCUGAUGCACGAAAGCGUGGGGAUCAAACAGGAUUAGAAACCCUUGUAGUCCAGAUG